AAGACUGGCUAGGAAAACAUUUUGCUAGGUUAAGUAGAUUCUUUCACCUUUCCUUUCAACCCUGGGGUAGAAAUUGUUACAGUGUUAGCAGAGAUACAAAGAAACUGUCAAGGUUUCCACAGGAAGAAACCCUGCGCAAGUCCACUCGCUGAGGGAAAGACUUCCUCCCCACUCUUCAGAGCCCGUUUGAUUUCCCUAAUGUUCAAAUUGCCAGGCUGAAGAGCAGUACUCCAUUGUGUACAUAAACUGCACUUUCUUGACCCGUUCACCUGUUGAUGGACACCCAGGCUGAUUCCAUAAUGGGCUGUCGUGAACAGUGCUAAGAGCCAGGACGACUGUCUUCGGCUGUAUCCGCUUUUGAUCUACCACUGUGGAACCCCAACGCAAAGAAAAGACCACCACCUGCAACUUCAAAUCAAAUUAAAGCAAGCUUGUAUUUGUGUACUCUGGAGCUGGUCAGGACUGUCUCUCCGGAAAAACCGGGCUAGAGAUCAGCCCCCAGCUCUCCAGGAACACG